CGAUACGUGAGUGGAGAAAAGGAGCACCCCGAAGAGAGCAUUGUGCUGUCAAGCCUGUGCUUAGUGUGUGCUGGAAAGCGGAGCUGUGCUCAUUUUUGGACGUGGUGGCUGUCUGUGGUUCUCUCUCUCUCUCGUCGUAGUCUUUAUUGUGGACCUGCUGGAGUAAACAGGAAAACCCUAUGGGUAAGAAGGAACUUUGUGCUAACCAAUACUGAAGGAGUAAAGCAGGAAGAAAAUUGACCUUCUGGUACAACGUAAACAAAGGCUACCCGCCGUGAGUAUACCCUUUUUGUGUGGAGUAACUGGCAAAAAAUUAACUUGUGUAACCAUUGGAAACCUCCAGGAGAAGGAGGGCGGCCCUACCCCUACAAGAGUGUGGUGGGCGAGCCGUGAGAAGUCCAACUUCAAACAGCCACCGCAACGAGACUUAUUGUGGUCGUAUUUCCCAUCGCCUUAUCAUAGCCCAAGCGCAGUGGAGGACACCGGGCGCUUCCCCUGUUGUGGUGCACUUAUAGUGUGGUGAGUGAGAUUGUGUAAUAAAUCUUUUUCACGUUUGGAGUGGUGCUGUGUAUUGCUGUGGGUUGCUGUGUGUCUUGUAGACGAAGCCCCGCAUCAUCCAUUUUCUUCCACUGGGCAGAGGACGGAGAGGCCAACGACUACAGAAAUCACUGUUACUAUAAGUAGUGUGCUGUUUGGAGUGCGAAGGGACGCAGACUAAGAGCUGUCCGUGACCGUGAGUAAACCAUUGGAAAACAUUUCGUGGUGUGAACUUACCUGUGCCUGCUUUCGUCGCAGAGUCAGAGGCGAAAGGGUCCGCCGCCCCGUGGUCUCUACGAAAAGGGCGCCCCCGUCUGGAAAUCGAUCGGCCUAUGGGCAUUGGAGAUAGGGCAGCGCUCGACCCGGUGAGGUGGUGUGGGACCUUCGCCCCUCUGUUGACCUACGGAGGAGAACCAUACCUACCCAGAAAGCUGUAAACAGCAGAGCCGCGGCCACCUGUGGAGAGAGAGCAGAACGAGAGUGAAUCAUUGGAGAGCAAACUGUGAACGUGAUACCUACCCAGAAAGCUGUAAACAGCAGAGCCGGUGAGAAAUACUCGAAGUCUCAGUAACAGUGUCUUUGUGCCCUAGCGGCCACCUGUGGAGAGAGAGCAGAACGAGAGUGAAUCAUUGGAGAGCAAACUGUGAACGUGAUACCUACCCAGAAAGCUGUAAACAGCAGAGCCGGUGAGAAUUACUCGAAGUCUCAGCAACAGUGUCUUUGUGUUCUAGCGGCCACCUGUGGAGAAAGAACGGAAAACGAGGAUGAACAUGAGGAGAAUGGACUGUGUGAAGAUACAGUGGUGGUGGAGGAGAGCCUAGAGUGGCCAUUGUUUUAAGUCCCCCGUUUCCCCUUCCCUAUUUAAUAUUUUUAAGUAAUUUAAUAAAGGAUAUUUUAAUUUUA